UACGUAGGGGGCUAGCGUUGUCCGGAAUCAUUGGGCGUAAAGCGCGUGUAGGCGGUUCGGUAAGUCCGCUGUGAAAGUCGGGGGCUCAACCCUCGAAAGCCGGUGGAUACUGUCGGGCUAGAGUACGGAAGAGGCGAGUGGAAUUCCUGGUGUAGCGGUGAAAUGCGCAGAUAUCAGGAGGAACACCAAGUGCGAAGGCAGCUCGCUGGGACGUUACUGACGCUGAGACGCGAAAGCGUGGGGAGCGAACAGG
rnacentral:rRNA from 1 species